rnacentral:rRNA from 1 species
UACGGAGGGAGCUAGCGUUGUUCGGAAUUACUGGGCGUAAAGCGCACGUAGGCGGCUUUGUAAGUUAGAGGUGAAAGCCCGGAGCUCAACUCCGGAAUUGCCUUUAAGACUGCAUCGCUUGAAUCCGGGAGAGGUGAGUGGAAUUCCGAGUGUAGAGGUGAAAUUCGUAGAUAUUCGCAAGAACACCAGUGGCGAAGGCGGCUCACUGGCCCGAUACUGACGCUGAUGCACGAAAGCGUGGGGAGCAAACAGG